rnacentral:rRNA from 1 species
GACAGAGGGUGCAAACGUUGUUCGGAAUUACUGGGCGUAAAGCGCGUGUAGGCGGCCCUGCAAGUCGGAUGUGAAAGCCCUGGGCUCAACUCAGGAAGUGCACUCGAAACUGCCGAGCUGGAGUCCUGGAGAGGAAGGCGGAAUUCUCGGUGUAGAGGUGAAAUUCGUAGAUAUCGAGAGGAACACCGGUGGCGAAGGCGGCCUUCUGGACAGUGACUGACGCUGAGACGCGAAAGCGUGGGGAGCAAACAGG